rfam:Homo sapiens chromosome 16, GRCh38 reference primary assembly.
GCCGGGCAUGGUGGUGCAUGCCUGUAGUCCCAGCUACUGGGGAGGCUGAGGCAGGAGAAUCACUUGAACCCGGGAGGCAGAGGUUGCAGUGGGCUGAGAUCAGGCCACUGCAUUCCAGCCUGGGCAACAGAGCGAGACCCCGUCUCAA